UAGGUUUUAGUUCAUUUAAGAAUUUUCGACUGUUAAUCGAAAGGAAGCAUGUUUAGCUAAAUCUAA
rnacentral:tRNA from 1 species